rnacentral:rRNA from 1 species
GACAGAGGGUGCAAACGUUGUUCGGAAUUACUGGGCGUAAAGCGCGUGUAGGCGGCAGGGCAAGUCGGAUGUGAAAUCCCGUGGCUCAACCACGGAAGUGCACCCGAAACUGCCCAGCUAGAGUCUCGGAGAGGAAGGUGGAAUGCUUGGUGUAGAGGUGAAAUUCGUAGAUAUCAAGCGGAACACCGGUGGCGAAGGCGGCCUCUGGACGAUGACUGACGCUGAGGCACGAAG